UUAGAAUCUUCUUUGGGGUAGAAUUCCAGCAAAUUAUGACAUAUAGAACAUAUAUAUGUGAUUAUAUAUUUUUAUUUGAGAAGGCAGCAGAAAGCAAUUAUAAAAUAUGUAAGACUAGGACAUAUUUCACAUUUCUUGGAUACUUCUCUAUUUUCUUUUAAAAAACUCAGGUGCUUUGGGAGGCUAAGGCGGGCAGAACACUUGAGGUCAAGAGACCAGGCUGGCAAACAAGCCAAAACCUCAUCUCUACUUAAAAAAUACCAAAACUAUCCAGGUGUGAUAGUGCAUGUCCGUAGUCCCAGCUACUCAGGAGGCUGAGGCCGGAAAUUCACUUGAACUCGGGACAGAGGUUGCACUAAGCUGAGAUCAUGCCACUUCACUCCAGCCUGGGUGACAGAGCAAGACUCUAUCUCAAAAAACAACAACAAUAACAACUCAGGAUUCUUGCUGAAGUUGGGGAUUGCAAAAAUGAACACAGAAACCCAGAGGUCAAGACCUAGUUGGAAGAAGGUUCAAAAGAGCCUGAAUAAUGUUUGAUCAAGCAGGGAGUCUUUGUCACUAAAUAAACCAACAUUGGGAACAAUGUG
rnacentral:lncRNA from 1 species